rnacentral:ribozyme from 1 species
ACAAUCAAAUGAAAAAUAGGUAUCAGCAAAGAAGGAAGGAGAGGAAGAGAGAGCGUAUUUUUUUAUCCAUACCCGCUCUCCCGUUGUUCCAACAUCAUUCUUCUUCUUCUUCUUCUUUCUU